UAGGGAUGCAGUCCUUUCUAUACCUCUCUUCCUCUCUCAUAAUUGAACUGUCCUUUUCUUUAUAUUAGAUGCAACAACAUUUGAGCCAACAACACAAUUGACCCCAGCAACUAGUAAGUAUUAUCAACAUCUGGAAAAGUCACUGAGUUAUUUUAUCAGAAGUCCAUAAACAAUUGAUCUUAUGGAUGUAGUCUUUUAUGUACCUCUCUUCCUCUCUCAUAAUUAACUGUCCUUUUCUUCAUAUUAGAUGCAACAACACCAUUUGAGCCAACAACACAAUUGACCCCAGCAACUAAUGCAACAACAUUUGAGCCAACAACACAAUUGACCCCAGCAACUAGUAAGUAUUAUCAACAUCUGGAAAAGUCACUGAGUUAUUUUAUCAGAAGUCCAUAAACAAUUGAUCUUAUGGAUGUAGUCUUUUAUGUACCUCUCUUCCUCUCUCAUAAUUAACUGUCCUUUUCUUCAUAUUAGAUGCAACAACACCAUUUGAGCCAACAACACAAUUGACCCCAGCAACUAAUGCAACAACACCAUUUGAGCCAACAACACAAUUGACCCCAGCAACUAGUAAGUAUUAUCAACAUCUGGAAAAGUCACUGAGUUAUUUUAUCAGAAGUCCAUAAACAAUUGAUCUUAUGGAUGUAGUCUUUUAUAUACCUCUCUUCCUCUCUCAUAAUUAACUGUCCUUUUCUUCAUAUUAGA
rnacentral:lncRNA from 1 species